GCUUAUACUCGACCGUCAGCGGCACGUGCGAUUGCGCUCGCGCGCGAUCACGAAGCCCUGACGAGUAGGAGGGUCGCGGCGGUGAGCGCAGAAGGGCUGGCCGCGAGGCCGUCUGGAGCCGCCGUCGGUGCAGAUCUUGGUGGUAGUAGCAAAUACUCCAGCGAGGCCCUGGAGGACUGACGUGGAGAAGGGUUUCGUGUGAACAGCCGUUGCACACGAGUCAGUCGAUCCUAAGCCCUAGGCGAAAGCCGAUGUCGAUGCGGUGUAGCUUUAUUAUAUUAUUAAUUAAUUAAUUAACGCACACACCCGUCGGGCGAAAGGGAAUCCGGUUCCUAUUCCGGAACCUGGCAGCGGAACCGUAAAAAAGUCGGGC
rnacentral:rRNA from 1 species